ensembl:snRNA U6 U6 spliceosomal RNA
GUGCUCGCUUCGGCAGCACAUAUACUAAAAUUGGAACGAUACAGAGAAGAUUAGCAUGGCCCCUGCACAAGGAUGACACCCAAAUUCGUGAAGCAUUCCAUAUUAAA